rfam:Macrostomum lignano unitig_46889, whole genome shotgun sequence.
AACUCUGAGGGUCUGGCUCGUGCGUCGUGAGAGCGCAGCCAACUGCGUGAAUUAGUGUGAAUUGCAGGAUAUCUUGAACAUCGACAUCUUGAACGCAUAUUGCGGCCUCAGGUCUCCCCUGUGGCCACGCCUGGCCGAGGGUCG